ACAUCAAUGUGAGAGGAAUUAAUGAUAGGUACAUGAGAGUCAGUUUAGUGAGGGAUUGGUCAAGUAAGU
rnacentral:tRNA from 1 species